UACGUAGGGGCGAGCGUUGUCCGGAAUGAUUGGGCGUAAAGGGCGCGUAGGCGGCUGUGCAAGUCAGUAGUGGAAGCCCAGCUUUUAAGGUUGGAGGUGCUAUUGAAACUGUGCAGCUUGAGUGCAGGAGAGGUUAUCGGAAUUCCCGGUGUAGCGGUGAAAUGCGUAGAGAUCGGUAGGAACACCAGUGGCGAAGGCGGGUGACUGGACUGCAACUGACGCUGAGGCGCGAAAGUGUGGGGAGCAAACAGGAUUAGAUA
rnacentral:rRNA from 1 species